CUCUGCAGAUGAAAAGGGCAGUAAAUGCAAAAAAAUCUGACAAGGAAUUACUCAAAAAAUAAUGGGCUGACAGACAUUUAUAUACCUGCACAGUGAGUCGAGUUUUGAGCAGCUCGAGCGGGUAAGUGAAUAAGGUAGAGCUAAUUCCAGCAACAGCACCUGCAAUUGGAGCAGCAGGUAUGCAUAGUUUGGGAUGCUCUCCAGGUUUUGGUGUCAGCUGCUUCUUAACUGUGUCAUAAGCAAAUAACUGCACGUUUUUCAGACAAAAGUGCCAAUUUAUAAGCAAUACAUACAGAUUUAUUAGUUAAAAUCAUCAGGACAGGAUGUAAAGUACAACCCAACUUCAGAAUAGGGUGCCCAUUUCUUUUUAACAACAAUCCCUUUUUGUUUCCCUACGAGUCUAUAGCUGUCUUAUCCUUUAAAAUUGAACAAAUCCACAAGGAGCUCAUCAAUGUGCCUGAAAAUUGUUUACGCCAUUAUUUAACAAUUAAGCCUUCAAAAUCAAGUUAUUGUUUCCCAGACAAACAUAUUUUUUUUAGCAGCAAGGAAAAAGUUAAGGACAAAAGUAGCUAAAAUGCCAAUAGUAUAUACUGAUGGCCCUACAUCAUUAAAAGGAACUUUUUAAGAAAUAUUAACUCAAGUAAACUCGUUAUCACAACUUAGGACUAGGGCUGGGCAAAUCUCCCGAACCGAACCGACCGAACUGAACCGAACUGAACCGAAUCGAACCCGACGGUUCUUGUCAAAUUAAAUACCCGAACGGCUAUUUGAAUUGAGAACCGACGGGUACGGUUCGGUUCUCGGUUCUAGACCAAGAUCCGAAGAACCGAAUAAGAACCGAAUAUUUCUAAUUUUUUUUAUAUUAAAUAAAUCAAAUUAUUUUAAUUUUAAUUUUUUCUAAAGAAAUUAAUAAAUUAACAAUUUCUAAAUCCAAAUUUUUGGCCAAAUAAUUUGUUUCAUUUCUAAUUUUUUAAUUUUUGGCUCAAUUACCCCUUCUAUUGUCUCAUUUCUUAGCCUAACAAGAUCCAACUCACUAAAUAACCCUAAAUAUAUAUACUAAAGUGUAUAACGCUGUCUCGACUCUCGCAGCCUCGCUGACAUUCCAAAACAUAUACAAUCGUCGACCGACGCUGUGACCUCCGCCAACCGAAAUUUUGAUCGUAGCGAUCAUUUGAACAAGAUAGUCUACGAGUCUAUGACAUUUCAAAACCAUUGAAUGUGUCAUUAGUUGUAUUUAUAUAAUGCUGUUAUAAAUGUUAAAAAAUUUAAUUAUAGUACAGAACCGAACGGAACCGAAUCGAACCGAACCGAACUGAACCCGAACGGUUCCAUAAUUAUAUUUGGACCCGACGGUUCCAUUUACUAAAUACCCGAAAAUUUUGGUUCGGUUCGAUUCUUGUUAAAAAUUACUCCAUAAUUUAUCAGCAUUCUUCCAUGGUCGUAGCUAUUUCCACAGUGGUGAGUGUGGCUGAAAUUCUGAAAAAUAAUGGAUUUUCAGUUGAGAAGAGUAAGACUUUCAGCUUCACAAGAUAAUCUUUCUCACCAUAUUUUAUUAGAACCUUUCUUUUUUUUCUUAAUGUUACAUUAUAAAAUGUUGGGAAAAUUACUGAGGUCACCCACCGUAUGCAUAAUGUAGCACUUCAACUUAUUUUUGUUACAUUUGGGUCCCUGGCUUUUCAAUUUUGUAGAACUUUGAUGAUUUCAAUUUCGACGAAUUGAUGGCGGCUGGUGAUGAUAGAGCUGGAGAUGGUGCAAGGCCGGUCCUGAGAUUUUGGAGGCCUUAGACCAAUUUCAAAUAUGGGAUCCUAUGUAUAUGUAAAAAUACAUGUAAAAUAAAAAAAAAAUUAAAAAAAAAUUUGGGCCCUCACCGAAGUGGGGUCUUAGGUCAUCGCCUACCUCACCUAUAGUCAGGGCCGGUACAAUUGGUGAAGAACAAAGUUAAAAAGUGUAUUAUUUGAUUUUAUUUUCCCUCUCAUUGCUUCUGUUUUGAUGUUCGUAUCUUUUGUUUGUGGACUUCAGACAGAAUUUUACUAUUCAAAAUUCAAUUUUGAUAAAUUAAAGAUUAAUUUUCAUGUCGUUCAAUUUUCUAUGGCUGGCAGCGGAAAGAAAUGUAUAUGGGCAAGGAUCAAAGUUUCUUGUGAGACUAUGUUUUUCGUUUAAUUCUGCAAUUUUUGUUUACUUCAUUAGUUAUUAGAUAUCAUUAAGCCCUUGUUUGGGCUCCAUUAAAAUCAAAAUUUGGGGAUAAUGUAUUUUAAAAUAGUAAUUUUUCAAAAAUGUGCGAUUAAAAGAUGAAAUAAAUUUAAAUUUAAAUAUAAUAUUAUUUUAUUGAAAAAUGUGUGAAACCCAAACAGUACUAAGAGUUGAGUGGAUCACCUGUAUAUCUUGCAUGGAUCAAGUGGUGUCAGAACCGGAGGCCCGGUUUGGCCUCUAAAUGGGUCUUUAUUGGGCGGUUCAAGCCAAGCCUGGGAUAUAGAUUAAUUUUUGGCCCAGUCCAGGUUGAUCCAUAACUCCAGUCUCCUUUCACAUGUUUUCGGAUUAUAAAUGCAAAAGGAAAAGCUUAGAAUUGUCAAUGAUGAGUUAUUAAACCAAUCAACACCAUCAAAAUUAUUUAAUUUAAUUUUUGAAAUUUUGAGUGUAUUUAUCCAAAUACAUAAAACAAGGGCAAAUAUUGCUGAUAAAAUCAGUCUUUUGGCAUUGAGUGAUGAUAUAAUUGAGUAAGUGGAAUAUGCCUUCUUGUAUUCCACAUGCACUCCAUUAUAUAUCAAGCAUAUGAAUCUCCCAAACUCAUUCUGGGUUUUGUUCUUUCCUCAUCUCCACAAGAAAUUAAAGAUCAAAUUGCAAAAAAAAGCUAGAGAAAUUUUCAUCUACUUUUAAGUUUUGACGAAGUCAAAUUCUAACAUGGCUCAAGAGGGUAAUGAUGUCACGUGAUUUCUCACCUUGCAGUUCUUCAGGGUGGCGAAUGCUGAUAGGUACCCGAGACCACGACUGGUUGGAGAUGAACACAAUCCGAUUAUCACAAAGUAAGUUUACUUCUAGGAAGUGAUCAAAGUUACAAAUAAGUUACUCAUUGAGAGAAGGAAGAGUUAACACCAAAAAGAGGCAUGUGGCGAUGGAAAACAAAACGAUAGAAACUAAUAACUGCAGUCUGCAGAACUGAUCUUCUGCACACUAUGGAAAGUAAAUAUGUUGCCCACCAAUGAUGUGGCAACAUGUAGUGUUAGCCAAAUCACUGAUGAGGUCUAAAAUACUGAUAACGUGGUGGACAACAUAUCUUUUGCUCACUAUGGGUAGAAGAUUAGUUAUGCUAAUAACUAAUAUCGACAAUAGCAAUGCAUUGCAUAAAUUAGCGGUUUUUCUAGUACUUCUUACAACAUUUUCCAAAGGGCAAAAGCAAUAGGUGUUGCAAAUUACAUUAUUUCAAUGCAUUGAAACCGGAAUUAUUCUGCGAACACCUAGAAGAACCGUAUGGCAGUUUGAAAAAGAAAAAACUCUUAACCAAAACCAACCGGUAGAGCCAAAACACAAGUACUAUCUAUCUCUCAUGAAUAAUAUUCCUCCAUAGGAAAUAAGAAAACAAGAUGAAAGGAUGUCAUCUUUAAUCACCUUUGUAAAUGAGAGAACAAGAAUUGGAACUCCUCAAGGUCGAGCCCUUUUCCUUGGCCUGUUUGCUUUUUCAUGAAUCGUCCUUCUCGACCAGUAUUCUCUUGCAUGCCUCAUAACACAUGAAAGAAAUUCCAGCAGCAGGGACUAAUUUCAUGCAGCUCGGNNNNNNNNNNNNNNNNNNNNNNNNNNNNNNNNNNNNNNNNNNNNNNNNNNNNNNNNNNNNNNNNNNNNNNNNNNNNNNNNNNNNNNNNNNNNNNNNNNNNNNNNNNNNNNNNNNNNNUAGGGCUGGGCAAAUCUCCCGAACCGAACCGACCGAACUGAACCGAACUGAACCGAAUCGAACCCGACGGUUCUUGUCAAAUUAAAUACCCGAACGGCUAUUUGAAUUGAGAACCGACGGGUACGGUUCGGUUCUCGGUUCUAGACCAAGAUCCGAAGAACCGAAUAAGAACCGAAUAUUUCUAAUUUUUUUUAUAUUAAAUAAAUCAAAUUAUUUUAAUUUUAAUUUUUUCUAAAGAAAUUAAUAAAUUAACAAUUUCUAAAUCCAAAUUUUUGGCCAAAUAAUUUGUUUCAUUUCUAAUUUUUUAAUUUUUGGCUCAAUUACCCCUUCUAUUGUCUCAUUUCUUAGCCUAACAAGAUCCAACUCACUAAAUAACCCUAAAUAUAUAUACUAAAGUGUAUAACGCUGUCUCGACUCUCGCAGCCUCGCUGACAUUCCAAAACAUAUACAAUCGUCGACCGACGCUGUGACCUCCGCCAACCGAAAUUUUGAUCGUAGCGAUCAUUUGAACAAGAUAGUCUACGAGUCUAUGACAUUUCAAAACCAUUGAAUGUGUCAUUAGUUGUAUUUAUAUAAUGCUGUUAUAAAUGUUAAAAAAUUUAAUUAUAGUACAGAACCGAACGGAACCGAAUCGAACCGAACCGAACUGAACCCGAACGGUUCCAUAAUUAUAUUUGGACCCGACGGUUCCAUUUACUAAAUACCCGAAAAUUUUGGUUCGGUUCGAUUCUCUUUAGAACCGAAUCGAACCGACCCGUGCCCACCCCUACUUAGGACAAGCACCCAAUUUCUAACAUCAAUACUAUUCCAAUUGCACAAGCUAAAUACACAAUAGUGCUCACAUAGUGGGAAGACUUGAUAAUUUGAGUAUGUAAAACAGUUUUGAUUAACACACGUAUCCAAGAAACAUGGAUAUCGCCACAUUGACCUGUAUAUCAUAAAGGCAUGUUUGGUACACCGCAUAUGAUAGGACAGGACACUUCUUUUUUAAUACCGUGUAGUAGUAGAUAAUUUACUUUACCAAACAAGCUAUAUAGGUUACAAGAAGUUCAUCGGUAGCAUGUUCAACUAAAUGCCGUAGCUACACCUUCAGGCAAAUAAUCAUUGGCAUCCAAUUGGAAUCAACAUGUAAAUCAAAUACUACAAAUCAACGCGAUAUGGGGGUAUACAAGAUAAAGAAUAUGUAACUAAUGAAGCAAUCAAUGAGACAUAAAAUUUAGUGAUAAUUCAGUGAGAACAUAACAAUGAAACUUAAACAAAUUGUUAUCUUAUACCUCUAUUGCCUUGCUUGGUGCAACCCGAAUAACAUUCACGAGAUUACCCCUGAAUAAGCCCUGCCAUCCUUCAUGCUUCAAUAUAUUCUGGAAUACUUCAGUCGUUGAAUGGCCACAACUACCUACCAUCAAAUGAGUCCUUACUGUCUCCAGUGGAGCCACUGCAGUACGUGAAACUGCACCUGCAAUCCCUCCGCUUAUCAACCUCCUCAACGAUGGAUUCCCAAUCUUAACUUUUAAGUUGAGACCACUUUUUUUCUUAUUUUUCGUAGUCAGCACCCCUUCCUCUCCAACUUUCAAAGCUUCACCCGGCACCAUUCCACCCAUAGACAGACCAGGUUCUGGCAACCCGUGCUUCCCGAAAGAAAUCGGAAGCUUUAAGGCAUUGUCUGUAGAUUUUGAGGAUAUCCCAAAUCCCAUCCCCAUUUGCCCCACACAUGCAAACAACCCCCCAAUGUGAUAAUUCUCAUCUUGGGGACACCACAAGAACCCAAUUCCAGAAUUCAUCAACAGCUCCUCAUUUCCCACACCUUUUGCCCUUCUUCUACCCAUAUGUUCAAACAUUAUAGAAAAUAGAAUUAUCUCCCCAAAGUUUUGCAGUAUUCAACACCACCAGAGCCCUCUUUUAUAUCCCACAGAUAUAAGAAACGGAUGCUUCCCACACUUAUGUAUGAACUAAGUUUGCUAAAAAUUCAAAAUUUUCCUCCACCAACAACACAAAAACAAAGUUCAAUACUCAUGUAUAACAAUAAGGGUAUACGAAUACGAAUAUUCUGACUUAAACAAGGAAAACUACAAAAAUGGGUGGAAAUUACCACAAAAACGCUUCUUCUCCUAAUUUGCUCUGCUCUCUUCGUCCCUUCCCUUCUCUGUAAAACGAAGCCGAGCUCAGUAGAGAAUGAAGGGAUGGGCGGAGAGUGCAAAACUUUGUAUAUAUAAAUAUUGUAUUGUUGCGCGCCCAAGCCCCGGAAUAAACCUGAGACCCCUUCGUGUUCAAGUAUACUUAAAAGGGCAUGAAGCAUGUUUCUGUAUUGUCUCCCAUUGAGAGCACCGGCUUGCAUAUGUUUUCGAGCCACCUCAAGAGGGAAAGUUGCACUGCUUGAAAUUGCACCAGCUGCAGAUCCAAUUAAAAGGGUAGCAAUAUUUCCAAUUUCCUCCUUAUUGAAAACUUUCUUAUAAGACUUUCUUAACGUGUCGUAGGCAUAAUAAUUUGUGGCAGCAUAUGGUAUUACUCCUAUUAAACUCGGAGUGAGGCCUCUAUAUAGUUCUGCAGGUCCCUCUUCCCUUACAAUUUUUAGGAAUGCAUCGACAAGAUUUUUGUAGACGCCCCUCUGCAGAUGAAAAGGGCAGUAAAUGCAAAAAAAUCUGACAAGGAAUUACUAUAGACUUGAAUAUUUUACGCUAAUCGCGUUUAUUAUUUAUUAGGCAUUCAUGAUAUAGGCCGCCAUCACCAACCACCUUAAUUUAUAUAAUAAGCCCAAUAAUACGUCAAACCAUAUUUCAUUCAUAUAUUUUGUGAAACUUACAAGUAUUAUCCACUCUUCUAUCUUUCAUUUUUAUCUAUUUAUAAACAAAUCUCAAACAUGUAUUAAAGCUUAUUGAACAUAUUUUUUAAUUUUGAAUAAUGAUAUUCAUCUAAAUUAUUAUUAGUCCCCAAUCGAAGUAUAAGUGAAAUGGAAUGAUAUGAUUGUACUUCUCAAAUAUAAGGGUAAUGAUCCAUUCAACAUGUCCAUUCAUGUAACUGAUACCUAGAUGAUUGAUUAUUACAGAUGAAUAACACUAUUUUUUUUUUUUACUUCACACAUUUUAUAAGAUCUAAAACAUACUGCUUGUUAUUCAGAUAUUUUAUAGGGCUUGUAACUUAAAAGCAUGACUAAACACACGCUAAAUUUGAUUAAUGAAAACAAUUUAAAAUCAUAUUAUCAUUUUGUAGAAUAAUUUUAUUAUAAAAUAAUUUUACGUUAAUCAUGAAAAUGGGUAAGUGAAUAAGGUAGAGCUAAUUCCUGCAACAGCACCUGCAAUUGGAGCAGCAGGUAUGCAUAGUUUGGGAUGCUCUCCAGGUUUUGGUGUCAGCUGCUUCUUAACUGUGUCAUAAGCAAAUAACUGCACGUAUUUCAGACAAAAGUGCCAAUUUAUAAGCAAUACAUACAGAUUUAUUAGUUAAAAUCAUCAGGACAGGAUGUAAAGUACAACCCAACUUCAGAAUAGGAUGCCCAUUUCUUUUUAACAACAAUCCGUUUUUGUUUCCCUACGAGUCUACAACUGUCUUAUCCUUUAAAAUUGAACAAAUCCACAAGGAGCUCAUCAAUGUGCCUGAAAAUUGUUUACGCCAUUAUUUAACAAUUAAGCCUUCAAAAUCAAGUUAAUGUUUCCCAGACAAACAUAUUUUUUUUAGCAGCAAGGAAAAAGUCA
rnacentral:lncRNA from 1 species